rnacentral:lncRNA from 1 species
CCAAAAUUCCCUUAGCCUAAAAGCCUCCCUCCAAAUAUUAAUAGCAAUCCUCUUCCAACAUGGACUAGAUUUAUAAUUCUGGGAAAGAUAAAGGAGUAAACAAAGGAAGAUUAUUAAGUGAUUUAAAUAGUAAAAUAUCUAAUAAAUCAGAUUAUAGCUUUUGAAUUCAAAAUAUUUGUUUCUAUUUGUAAAAGUGAUUAUUAAUUAGUACACGAACGGGUAACAUUAUGUAUAAUGAUUAUUCUUUAUUGUGUUGUUAAAAAAAAUGUGUAUUCUUCUCCUUGUUCUUAUAAUGUAUAAAAAUAUGCCCAUAGCUCUCUCAAGGAAUCGUAACAGAUGGAGCA